rnacentral:rRNA from 1 species
UGGGGAAUAUUGGACAAUGGGGGCAACCCUGAUCCAGCAAUGCCGCGUGUGUGAAGAAGGCCUGCGGGUUGUAAAGCACUUUGAGUGGGAAAGAAGGCCUGAGGGUUAAUACCCUUUGGGAUUGACGUUACCCACAGAACAAGCACCGGCUAACUCCGUGCCAGCAGCCGCGGUAAUACGGAGGGUGCGAGCGUUAAUCGGAAUUACUGGGCGUAAAGGGCGCGUAGGCGGUUCGAUAAGUCUGAUGUGAAAGCCCUGGGCUUAACCUGGGAACGGCAUUGGAAACUGUCUGGCUAGAGUGUGAUAGAGGGGUGUGGAAUUUCCGGUGUAGCAGUGAAAUGCGUAGAGAUCGGAAGGAACACCAGUGGCGAAGGCGGCACCCUGGAUCAACACUGACGCU